rnacentral:tmRNA from 1 species
GGGGGUGUACCGGAUUCGAUUGGCAGCGUUCGGGGUGGAUUGCAUGUCGAGGAUGAUCGUUGGCCUCGUAAAACAUCGGUCAAAACAAUAAUUGCGAACGAAGAGUACGCAUUGGCUGCGUAAUUUGACAGCCUCGUCCACUUGCUGAUGAGUGUUAGGCAAAGCUGGGCGUCAUAGAACACUCUGGUCUGCUGCAGCGACCUUUGGCAGCGGGCGAGAUCAACAGGAAGGAAUAGUCGGUUACCAGGCCAGGUUGAGCGGCAACUGGCAAGCGACGAAAAGCCCAUAAGCCUCAACUAAACAUGUAGAUAUCUGCUUUGGUGUUGACCAAGACAGGGGUUCGACUCCCCUCACCUCCACCA